rnacentral:lncRNA from 1 species
UCUUAAAUAGCUUCUCUCUCCUGGGCUGUUCUCCUGAGAGUUGGGCCUAUCUCAUCUCUGUCUCAUUCUGUUAAAUCUGUCUCUGAUCCAUCACUUUGUCUACCCCUCAAUUAUAUGUCACUUUCAAAUACAGCUGCUUCCUUCUACAAAUUAAUUUUACCUUAAAGUGUAUGCUAAGGAUGUGCCUGUGUUCCAGCCAGAUCACACAGGUCUGAGUCUUCAGAUGUGAUCACUUGCAAGAGCAGCUAUGUUUCUAGAUUAAAAUUCCUCUACAGAGGCUUCUUAAGAUAUGAAUCUGUGACCUAACAGAGUUUUUGAAGACAGGCAUAGUGGCACAUAAGUGGCAUAGCUCUUAGGAGACAGAGUCAGGCAGAUCUCUGUAAGUUCCAGGACAGUCUGGUUUAGGAAGUUACAGGCCAGGUACAUAGUGAGACCUUGCUUUGAAAAAAGCAAAAGAAAAGUUUAUGAAAGUAUAGGAAACAUAGAAGCACUAAUAAAAGUUUCAUAUUGGUAUCAUGCACUCAAAAGUUUGCUGUUUACACAUUUAUUGUCUGACAGCUGUCCUCUCCCUGCUCCAUAAAUGAGACAUUAUCUAAUGUCCUAUAGCAGAUCAGGAGGUGUGCCAGGGGACUCAUCAGGCUGUCACUUCUAGCUGGGGUAUCAUUGUGAUGCUUUCUGGCAGAACUAAUCAGGCAGAAGUGAGCAGAGUGGCAAUGCCUGUCACUCCUGAUUUACGGCCAUAACUUCAUUCAUUCUGGUAGAUGGUUUUUUAGUUUUCGGCAGAAUGUGUCAUGGGCACUUUUGCCUCUAAUGGGUAAUUUCUAUGUCUUAUUGUUUAUUUCUACCAAAUCUUUGAGCAUUACUAAGCUUUAUCACUUCAUGUCAGAAGUAGACCCCUGCUCAUAUGUAUAAACAUCAACAGUGCCGCAGCUCAGUGUCAGAUUUGCCUGGCUGAGUCAAUUGCAGAAAUGGGUAUUAUCAAGAACGGUAGCUUGUGGCGGUCAGUUUAGUAGCCCUGAGAAGUGGGGAGGUGCUUAGGCCAAAUCACCAUCCAAGAAGGAGGCCCCCAGGAUCUGAAUCUUAUUUUCAGAUUCUCUCAUGCGCCUUGCUGCCUCUGAAGAAAUCGUGUGUGGUUUUAAGCAACUGGUCAUUGGAAAGAUUCUCUGUAUCUGUGAAUCGCACUAGACCAUUGCAAUUGUCCACCAUUCCCCGUGUUUGCUCCCCUCGGGGUGGUAGCUUAGUGUGUGUGUGUGUGUGUGUGUGUGUGUGUGUGUGUGGUCACAUUCAUGUGUAGCAAGAGGCCCAAGGUUGGUAUUGAGACUCAUCCUCCAUCCUCUUCAUUCUUCUGCCUUUCUCACUGAGGCAGGACCUCUCAGCUGAGCCGACAGCCUGGUAAGAUGGCCAGUCUUGCUAACCAGCUUGCACUGACGAACCCCUGACUUUGCCUUCCAACACUGGGGUUACUGGAAGGCUGGCACACCCACCCAGCACUUGUGGGUUUGUGGGGCUCUGAACUCUGACCCUACCAUUUAUUUUGCAUGGCAUGAGCUUUAACCACUGAGACACCCCACCCCCCAGCCUUUGCCUCUAACAUUUCAAGAGCCGCCAUGCUUCUCAGUUUGCUCCUGUCUAUAUUGGGGAUCCCGUUGGUUUUUUUACUUUUCAGUUCCCCAGGGCUCCUCAGCUAAUAACUGAAUAAGCAUCUGUUGAAUCACCUAGGGGAACGUUAACCAUAUUUGGCUUCCUUUUGGGUAAAGCAUUUCCUCCUUUGGUUUCUCUGGUUUGUCAUUGCCCUUUGUGAAACGUGACAACCAGAAUUAAAUAUGUCAUUUUAUGCAAGGACUGAAUAUUUUCGCUUAUCUAAUCACAGCUUUAUUUCUUUAGUAAGCCCUAAGAAUC